rnacentral:rRNA from 1 species
CUACGGGUGGCUGCAGUAAGGAAUAUUGCGCAAUGGAGGCAACUCUGACGCAGCCAUGCCGCGUGCAGGAAGAAGGCCUUAUGGGUCGUAAACUGCUUUUAUUUAGGAAUAAACCCCCGAACGUGUUCGGGGCUGAAGGUACUAAACGAAUAAGCACCGGCUAACUCCGUGCCAGCAGCCGCGGUAAUACGGAGGGUGCAAGCGUUAUCCGGAUUUAUUGGGUUUAAAGGGUGCGCAGGCGGGCUAUUAAGUCAGUGGGUGAAAUCCCGGGGCUCAACUCCGGAACUGCCAUUGAUACUGAUAGUCUUGAGUUUGGUUGAAGUGGGCGGAAUGUAGCAUGUAGCGGUGAUAUGCAUAGAUAUGCUACAGAACACCAAUCGCGAAGGCAGCUCACUAAGCCAAAACUGACGCUCAUGCACGAAAGCGUGGGGAUCAAACAGGAUUAGAUACCCCUGUAGUC